rnacentral:rRNA from 1 species
UACGUAGGGGGCAAGCGUUGUCCGGAAUCAUUGGGCGUAAAGCGCGUGUAGGCGGUUCGAUAAGUCUGCUGUGAAAGUCCAGGGCUCAACCUGGAGGGGUCAUUCGAUACUGCCGUGACUAGAGUUCGGUAGGGGAGUGUGGAAUUCCUGGUGGAGCGGUGAAAUGCGCAGAUAUCAGGAGGAACACUCGUAGCGAAGGCGGCACUCUGGGCCGAUACUGACACUGAGGAGCGAAAGCGUGGGGAGCGAACAGG